AACGAACGCUGGCGGCAGGCCUAACACAUGCAAGUCGAGCGCGCCCUUCGGGGUGAGCGGCGGACGGGUGAGUAACGCGUGGGAACGUGCCCUUCUCUGCGGAAUAGCCUCGGGAAACUGAGAGUAAUACCGCAUACGCCCUUUGGGGGAAAGAUUUAUCGGAGAAGGAUCGGCCCGCGUUGGAUUAGGUAGUUGGUGGGGUAAUGGCCCACCAAGCCGACGAUCCAUAGCUGGUUUGAGAGGAUGAUCAGCCACACUGGGACUGAGACACGGCCCAGCCUCCUACGGGAGGCAGCAGUGGGGAAUCGUAGACAAUGGGGGCAACCCUGAUCGAGCCAUGCCGCGUGAGUGAUGAAGGCCUUAGGGUUGUAAAGCUCUUUCAGCUGGGAAGAUAAUGACGGUACCAGCAGAAGAAGCCCCGGCUAACUCCGUG
rnacentral:rRNA from 1 species